rnacentral:rRNA from 1 species
UACAGAGAGUGCAAACGUUGUUCGGAAUUACUGGGCUUAAAGCGCACGUAGGCGGCGCCGCAAGUGUGGGGUGAAAUCCCACGGCUUACCCGUGGAACUGCCUGGCAGACUGCGGUGCUAGAGGAUGGUAGGGGAGAGCGGAACUCCUGGUGGAGCGGUGAAAUGCGUAGAUAUCAGGAGGAACACCGGUGGCGAAGGCGGCUCUCUGGUCCAUUACUGACGCUGAGGUGCGAAAGCUAGGGGAGCAAACGGG